UACGUAGGGGGCAAGCGUUGUCCGGAAUCAUUGGGCGUAAAGCGCGUGUAGGCGGUUCGGUAAGUCUGCUGUGAAAGUCCAGGGCUCAACCCUGGGAUGCCGGUGGAUACUGUCGGACUAGAGUACGGAAGAGGCGAGUGGAAUUCCCGGUGUAGCGGUGAAAUGCGCAGAUAUCGGGAGGAACACCAAUUGCGAAGGCAGCUCGCUGGGACGUUACUGACGCUGAUGCGCGAAAGCCAGGGGAGCGAACGGG
rnacentral:rRNA from 1 species